rnacentral:rRNA from 1 species
CCUACGGGAGGCAGCAGUAGGGAAUAUUGCUCAAUGGGGGAAACCCUGAAGCAGCAACGCCGCGUGGAGGAUGAAGGUUUUCGGAUUGUAAACCCCUUUUGUUAGAGAAGAAAAUGACGGUACCUAACGAAUAAGCACCGGCUAACUCCGUGCCAGCAGCCGCGGUAAUACGGAGGGUGCAAGCGUUACUCGGAAUGACUGGGCGUAAAGAGAGCGUAGGCGGGAUAGCAAGUCAGAUGUGAAAUCCUAUGGCUUAACCAUAGAACUGCAUUUGAAACUGUUAGUCUAGAGUAUGGGAGAGGUAGGUGGAAUUCUUGGUGUAGGGGUAAAAUGCGUAGAGAUCAAGAGGAAUACUCAUUGCGAAGGCGACCUGCUAGACUAUAACUGACGCUGAUGCGCGAAAGCGUGGGGAGCAAACAGGAUUAGAUACCCCGGUAGUC